ensembl:lncRNA
GUUGUCUUGCUGGCAGCACCCCAAAGCCGCCGUCACCGCAGGCCCUCCGGGGUCUGUUGCUGGGACCCCUCCAUGCAAAAGGGGAUGUGGGGCACAGUUUGGGGGGUGGGGAGGAAGGGCUUUGGGGGGACGAUCCCAGCAGCCACUGCUCGGUACCAGGAAUUCCUGGAAAAUGGCCCCAGCUCAUUUUCAUUUUCACUUUUCCAUUUUCCCUGCUGGGAAAUCUGCAGAGGGAAAAGGGGGGCGGGGGGGAAGGGAGGGAGGCAGCUGGAGCCCCUCCCCAACUCUCCAUUUUGGGGCUUUUGUGCCCCAUUCACCAUCCCUAUGUGGCACAGCAUACCCGUGGGGCUCCCGGGCUGGUGGGGGCUUGGGGUGACUCCUGGGACACACCAAAAAGGAACCCCAAGAUCUGCAAAGUGACCUCAACAUUGGGAUGCGAUGGGUGCCACCAGGAUGUGGGGUACCCCAUAGCCGGGAUUCGUCUAUGGGUCCGCAGUACUGAGGCUGUCCCUGUGGGUCCCCAAAUCUCUGCUGUCCCCAUAGGUUCCCCAAACAGGCUCUGACCACUUCAAGUCACCAAAUCUGCACUGUCCCCAUGGGUGUCCCAUAUCCGGGUACCCACUGUGUCCCCCCCCAUACCCAUCAAUCCCUGAGUGCUCCCAGAUCAGUGCUGUCCCCAGGAGCCCUCCCAUACCCUGAUAGUCCCAUACAAACCCCAAACCCAUGCAAUCCCAGCAGGUCCCCAAAUCUCUGCUGUCCCCUCAUGUCCCCAGGCAGGCUCUGUCCCCUCUCCAAACCCCUGCUGUCCCCAUGGGUACCUCAAAUCUGGAUCUCCCCCAAACCCAUCAGUCCCUGAGCGCCCCCAGAUCAGUGCUGUCCCCAGGAGCCCUCCCAUACCCGGGCAGCCCCAUAUAUCCCCCAAUCCCUGCGGGUCCCCCAAUCCCUGCGGACCCCCCACACCCGUGCACACCCCCACAUCUCCGCUCUCCCUCCCCCUCCUCCUCCUCCCCCGGGUCCCCCCAUAUCCGGGUAUCUCCGCCGUCCCCUAAAACCCCGCACCCCUCCCUCACAGCCCCCGCCGGCUCUGCCCGCUCAGCGGCGGGGCCGAGGGCCGGGCGAGGCCGGGGAUUGG